UAAUACGAAGGACCCGAGCGUUAUCCGGAUUUAUUGGGUUUAAAGGGUGCGUAGGCGGAUUUGUAAGUCAGUGGUGAAAGCCUGCAGCUUAACUGUAGAACGGCCAUUGAUACUGCAAGUCUUGAGUAUGGUUGAGGCGGGCGGAAUAUGUCAUGUAGAGGUGAAAUUCUUAGAGAUGACAUAGAACACCGAUUGCGAAGGCAGCUCGCUAAGCCAUUACUGACGCUGAGGCACGAAAGCGUGGGGAUCAAACAGGAUUAGAUACCCUGGUAGUCCACGCCCUAAACGAUGAUUACUCGAUGUGUGCAAUACACCGUACGCGUCUAAGCGAAAGCAUUAAGUAAUCCACCUGGGAAGUACGACCGCAAGGUUG
rnacentral:rRNA from 1 species